GCCUGAAAGUCUAUCGGGCACGAUGACAUCAUGAGUGAGAGAGGCCAGCAAGUCCAAGGACAAAUCAAAUUCUGUGGCUGAAUGGGACCCCCAGGACGUCUACGCCCGGCUUCUGAGGGACAAGGGUAUUUUACCUGGAACAAACUCUUUCAGCAACAAAACAAGACCCAGCCCUGCCCGCAUGGAGAAAGCAACACGCGGCUAAUGAAGUGGACGGGACCACGCAGGAAAGAUCGGGACACGGAGACGCCG